rnacentral:rRNA from 1 species
UACAGGGGGGGCAAGCGUUGUUCGGAAUUACUGGGCGUAAAGGGCUCGUAGGUGGCCAACUAAGUCAGACGUGAAAUCCCUCAGCUUAACUGGGGAACUGCGUCUGAUACUGGAUGGCUUGAGUGUGGGAGAGGGAUGCGGAAUUCCAGGUGUAGCGGUGAAAUGCGUAGAUAUCUGGAGGAACACCGGUGGCGAAGGCGGCAUCCUGGACCAUUACUGACACUGAAAAGCGAAAGCCAGGGGAGCAAACGGG